rnacentral:lncRNA from 1 species
AAGCUGGGAAAGCACACGAGUACAUAUGGUAUUUUAAAAGAUCUGCACCUGCUUUUCUCAGACCAGCUGGCAGACUAUUCAAAGAAAAGAACCGUUCUUUCUGGAAAUACUCAGGACUGAAAUCAUCUAUCAGGGGGUUGAUAGAAGCUCUCUGGGAUCGAUUGCAGGAAGACUGUGCCAACCAUCGUUUUAGAAAUUUGAACAGAAUUAGAACAGGUACUGUGUUUUAAAGAGCGAUUUUGAGGUUUUGACACCCUGUACGUUUUGCAUAUGCCCGAGAAAUGGCAGAAGCAGCACACAUCUGCUUUGCAUAUAAAAUUGUCAUUUCCAUAUUAAGUUGCUUUAUAACCAGGUUCCAGGUGCUACUUUUGAGAUGCAGUGGAAUAAGAGCAUCCAUCAGCGCAUCUGAACAGCAGAAACAUCAGGCAACAGCUGGGAGCUGGCCUGUGCAGGUUCCUAAGUGGGGCCCUGUCCUCCGGGGCCUCCAGGCCCAGCACUCAGAGAAUUAAUUCACUGCACAAGGCCUGCAGGCGACCUGCAUCUCACCCCUUGGCCAUCCUGGAGCCUGCAUCCUUGAUUCUGGUUCUUGGAGUCUAACUUCUUGGAAACAGUUACUGAAAUUUAAUAGAAAGCAUGUGAAAAGAAUGAUGUAUUUGGGCCAAUUUGAUAGCUAUCCUAAAAAGCUGUGCCUGGGCAUUAUUCCUGGGAAACGACAUUUAAUUUCUCACAGAGCACGCAAGCCCAAAGGGUUCAUAUAGCCAACUCUGCUAUUUAAAACCAUCCAGGGUUCUUGCUGUGCCUUUUGUUGAGUGCAGUUGCAUUAUCUAAUGAAUAAUCAAUGCUCAACUGACACCUGAGGGCCCAAACACUAGUCCUCAACUAAAUUCACUGAUCUGUUCUCUGUUCCUAAUCUUUACCGCUGGGCUGCUUCUCCUAACGUUGAAGCUUUGGCUCUGACCUUCAGCCCACCAGUUUCAGGGGACAUUCAAUAGAUCCAUGGGCCCCUGGGACCGCAGAUGUUAUACUUUAGGGCAGAUGGACGAUAUGUAUAUACUAUUGGACCCACCUGUGACUUUAAUCCACUAUUAUCUUUAGCUCCUUUAUUUUUUUCUCAUUCAUUCAUUUAUCCACUUAACAAAUAUUUCUUGCCAGGGACUCUGCAGACUCUGGGCUUGAAGAAUGCUUUUGUUUCUGUUCCUGCCUUGAGGAGUUUGUGGUAGUUGCAGGUCCCAGGAUGUGGCAGUAACUCACUUCGACCUUGGGCUUUCUCUCUCGGGGUCUCAGACGUUGGAAUGGACCAUGUCUCUGAUUUCUCAGAGCCUGGAGAUUCAGGGUCAAGGCCCGGCUCUCCUGGGUAUGGGAAGUUUUUUCAUGUGUUUAGCGACGUUUCACUGUCGGGUGGUGGCAAAGCCAAGUGGGUUGAUUCUGCACUACAGAAGAGAACGUCUUUCAUCUUUUCAGCUCGUAGAAGUCCAGCGUGGUAUGUCAGAGCACCUGGAGGGAAAGGAUUAUAUUUUAUUCAUUUUGCCUUCUCAGCUUCUGGCACAGAAUUGAGCAUGUAGUAGGAGCUUUCAAAAUGAAUGGAAUGUGAACGGACAUAUCUGCUCAAAGUGUAUAUCUUACUCCGGGAUCAAUGGGCUCAUCUUCCUGGACGAAGGGAAGCUUUAUUGUUCCAGAGCAUCAUUCAACUUCUGAAAUGGAGACAGGAAAGUGCUGCACAACAGUUCCCCAUGAAUGCAGCUAAACGGGAUGUGACUAGACAUGCCGCCUAGCAGAGCCUACGAUCUUCAUUCUUCAGGAAGUCGUGGAUGAGUGCUUCCCAUGGGCUGACUUCAACUGGAAACUGGAGGGCAAGGGAGCUCGUUGAUGUAGUCCACAUGUGUCAAACUUCUGGAACACAGAGCCAGGAAGAGGAUGGAGAGUGGAUCUGAAGGGGUGAAUGGAAGACAUCUGACAUGGAUGCUACGGGCUAGAGAGAAGAGGGGGCUAUGGGACCAAGUGGAAAGAAGUGAGACUGAAAAAACACCCGAGCAAGGCGGCCUGUUCCAGGUUGCUGGUUGGCAGCCAAGCAGCCUGAGGUCAUCUCACUGGUACCCGGAAAGACCGCCCACUGUCAGCUGUCAGCCUGAUGCCCAGUGCAGGCUCCAUUUGGAGCCAUGAUCGUCUGCGCAGUGAGACUCUGUCCAAUGCCCCAUCUGCCUCUCAUUUAUGAACAUCACCAGUGCCCUUGCAUGUGCCCACAGAUGGGAGGCCGAGGACUUAAACCUCUUUAUAAAAAACUAAAUUUAGUUAAAAAACAAAAAUUGUAUAUAUUUAAGGUGUACACCAUGAUGAUUAGAUAUGCAUAUACACAGUGAAAUGAUUACUAAGUGAAGUUAAGUAACUUGUCAUCUCAUCCCAUAGUUACCACUUUUUUUUGUCAUGAGAGCACCUGAAAUCUACUCUCUUAGCAAAUUUCCAGUAUUCAGUACAGUAUUAUCAACUAUAAUCAUCAUGCUGUACAUCAGAUGUCUGGACUCACUGAGGGGUGAUGCUGGCACGAAGGCAGGAGCCUCAUCUCUGGCCAAGGUGGGACCAGACUGAGCACGUUUAGCAGGACUGCUGUCCGCAACGCUGUUUCAGUUAACAUGAUGUAACCGGGGACAUUCCUGGGCAGGACAGUAGAGCCUCAGAGCAGCAGCUGCUGGAGGAGUUCCCUAUAAAUUGUCAAUGGUGUUAGGAUUUGGGCUAUGUCUCAAUAUAUGUGGAUGUGUUUUCUUCUGUUACAGAGCUGACCUUGAAAUUGGCGAUAUGGAUGACUGGGAAUCUUUCAAAUUUCAUUACUCCAGGUAGAGCCCCAAAUCCAUAAUAUGGCCUGCUGGGCUGUGCAAAACCCAGCCCCGCCUGCCUCACCAUCAUCAUCUUGUGGCACUUGCCCCUUGUUCUCUGCACUCUACACCCAGAGCCUUAUUUCAGGGCCUCCAAUGGCCACACCCUUUUCACCUCUUGGUCUGCCCCUCUGAUUCCCUCUGUCUCCUCCUCUAGCCACUUUGUUCCUUAAUUUCUACUCAACUCAAGGUUACUUCUUCAUGAAAGCCCUCCCCGACCUUCUGGACAGGGCAGGGUCAUCACUUGCAUGUUCUCAUAGCAUCUUUCCCGUCUAUCACUUCUGAAAAUUUUAAUUAAAUCAUUAAGUGGACAAAUAGUUGUUUAAUGUCUGCUCUCCCGCCCCCGGCUGUUUGACUGUAAGCUCUGAUUUGCUGCUGCCUGGUGCCUGUGCAUAGAAGACACUCCGUAAAUAUUUGAGCGAAUUAUUGACCAAAAGCUGAAAAUGAGUUAGGAGUGGGUGUAUACACACUGCACAGAAAAGAAAUAAGAAGAGGCAUAGAUUAGAAAGGACAUACUUCCCGCCCUCUCCCCACCCCAGCCUUUCUUGGUGCUGGGAAUGAGGAGCAGAGGCCAGGAGAGAAAGCAGUGAAAAACAGGGCGCAGAGGCAGGCAGAGUUGACCAAUUCCCCAGACACUGCGGGACGAGGAGCAAAAGCCGUUGUUAGAUGUCACAACACUGAUCUCAUGCCUUCUAGCGAAAGAAAAUCUGGUCAAGCAAUAUUAACAGAAGAAGCCUUUAAAAAUGUGAGAAUAGUAAACCGCCUCUCUGCUGACUGAUUUGCAAAGGUCCGGGCUCAGAGCCUGAAGUGAUAACAGGUUCAGGCCAUCAGAAAUUAUUUUAACUGGUGUCCUGACAUCUGGGGAAUUCAGGGGCCAGCCAAAUGAAGCGGGCUAUUUAUAAAAUGUUUGUAGCUCUCUAGUCCCUCAGAACAACAAACACAAGAAGGCAUCGAAAUACCGAUAUUAGAAUUCACCUGUCCCAAAUUACAAAGUAGUCAGGAGCAGAGAAUAAAAUGCCAGGAUUAAAACCUACAUCUUUAUUUCGUGAUGGCAGAUUUAUAUUUGUGGGAGGGGAUGGUCUCUACGGAAGAGAUCGCAUUAUAAACUUGGGCCUGACAGCCUCUAAGAAAUAAUGCCUGGCUCCAGAGAAGGACAGAGUUGAAGUUUAUAGGGAACUUAGAGAAAUGAUUUAGGAGACCCAUGAGAAUGUCAAGAAAGAGAUUGGUGAAGCAGGUGAGGAACCGAGUGAGAAAGGGAGUGGGAAUAUGUGAGUGAGAUGAUGGGGGGAGCAAGGCAAGAGGAUGAAGGAGACAAAUCUGACUAAUAGGUGCAUAGCCAUUGCAAAUCCUUAUUUAUUUAUUAUUUUUUUUCAAUUCUCUGUCUUUUUACUCCUACUAUUAGUUUUUUUUCUAAAACCUCUUUUUUGGGGUAGAUUGACAUACAAAAAGCUGUAGAUGGUUAAUGUAUACAACUUGAUGUGUUUGGAGAUAUGUAUAUACCUGUGAAACCAUCAACACAAUCUAUACCAUAAAUAUCCUUUACCUCCAAAAGUUUCCUCUCUUCCUUUUUUGUUGUUGGUUUUUUUUUUUUUUAAAGAUUGGCACUUGAGCUAACAUCUAUUGCCAAUCUUCAUCUUUUUUCCCUUCUUCUUCCUCUCCCCAAAGCCCCCCGGUACAUAGUUGUGUGUUCUAGUUGUAGGUCCUUCUGGUUGUGCUAUGUGGGAUGCCGCCUCAGCAUGGCCUGAUGAUCUGUGCUAGGUCAGUGCUCAGCAUCUGAACCAGUGAAACCCUGGGCUGCUGAAGCAGAGCGCAUGAACCUAACCACUUAGCCACGGGGCGGACCCCUUUGUUGUUUUGUUUUAUUGUUUUCCUUUUGCGGUAAGAGUAUUUAACAUAAGUCAUGCUCCCUUAGCCAAUUUUUAAGUAUACAGUACAGCCUUGUUAAUCAUAGGCCCUAUGUCAUCCAGUAGAUCUCCAGGAAGCAUUCAUCUUGCAUAACGGAAACUUUGAACCCCUUGAUCAACACUUCUUCAUUGCCUGCUCCCUCCAUCCCCUGGAAACCACUGUUCUACUCUCUGCUUCUACGUGUUUGAUGAGCAAAUUCUUUUAUUUUUAAUUCAAGGUUUGAAUUAAUGUUUACUAACCAUGAUAACGUUAUUCCUUUUAGCUUACAUGGCCCAGCUAAAUGGCUUAGCUUCUAAGAAUUGAUUAAGAUCCUCUUUGUCCCUUUUCAUCGUGCUGACUCUUGGCACUGCUGCAUUCUCUGCUCAUUUUCUGUUGCAGGCCUGUUUUCCCCACACCUGUGAUAGAAAAUGCUAUGAUUUACAGCAGUUAAUAGAGUAAUAAUAUACAAUAGAUUAAAAGAUAACAUACCAUACCAUAUGCAUAGUUUUAACUCAUUGUAAUAAAACAUAAUCCAAGAUACAAAUAAUACGUGAUAGAAUGCAUGACAAUAUGCAACAGAGUAUUAAGAAAAAGUACAUUCUUACUUAUCUCAGCUGGUGAAAAGGAGGUUCUGGUAAAUUGAAGAUUGUGGUGAACCGAAAGUUGGAAUCAGGCCUGGACACCUGCUUCAGCUGAGCCAGCCGUCAUCUGGAUGUGUGACUUGAACAGGAGUGGUAGAGAUUUCCGCUCAAAAGUUCAGACUCCAUGGAAUCUAGCCAUGAGAUGUCUGUUCGGGCCUCCAGUCUUCUUAGGAAUCAUUAGGAAAAUCCAGAUGUGUUGGAGAGGAGUCACAGCUUCCGUGUUUAUUAGGUGACCCUGUAGCUCCCAGGGGUUGGAGUCAACAUUCUACUGCUUCUCACGUCCCACUUUCUUUUACACACUUGCCACUUUCUAGUUCAAACCUGACGCUUCCUACUCCUCACAUCACAAUGGUGUAACCCCACUUACCUCUCUCCCAAGCUUUCCUCUGUUUUGUCAUCUCCUUUACUUCUACAUAAAUUGUAAAUCUCACCUUACAGUAUUACUAUGCAUUAGUUUGCUUUGAAGGAAAUUAGGAGAGGAAAAAUAAGAGUGUUUUAUGUUUACCCACUGAUUUAAUAAUUCUGGUGUUCCUCCUUGCUUCCUAGAGACCCGAGUUUCCACCUGGUAUCAUUUCCCAAGCCUGAGGAACAUCUUCUGGCAUGUCUUUUCGUGCAAGUCUGCUGGCCACAAAUUCUCUCAGCUUUCUUUUCUCUGAAGAUGUCUUUCCUCACUCUGCUUUUGAAGAAUAUUUUUGCUGGCUACAAAAUUUUGGGUUGACAGUUUUCAGUAUUUUAAGGAUGCGAUUGCAUCGUCUUCUGCCUCCAUUCUUCUUUUCCUUCCUCUCCUCCUCCUUUUCCUCCUUUUUCCUUUUUUUCUGAUGAUAACUCAGCCAUCAUUUAUAUUAUUGAUCCCUGGUCUGUGAAGUCUUUUUUUCUCUAUUUUCAAAAUCUUCUCUUUACCAUUGGUUUUCAACUGUUUGACUGUGAA